GGCCGGCCGUAAAGCCCAGCUUGUCCUGGUGAAGUCUGCAAAAGGGAGCGUCAGUGCUGAGGGAGCUUCCGUCACCUCCCUCAGUGUUUCUGCCCCAGGUAGGUAGCCGAGCAGAAGCGCACCGACGUGGCCUUCAAUCUACGAGGACUGCAGGCUGGUGGAGAAGAGGAUCGAGGACUUCACUGUCUCUCUCUUCAUCAUGCUCAAGUCCAAGUGGCUGGAUAGGGCCCCCAACAAGUCUGGGGAUAAGAUCCCCCUCCUCUGCACCUUGUUUGAGAAGGAGGACUUCAUGGGAUUGGACACAGACAGCAGGUGCCCUCACCUCCAGUGACAUCCAUCCAGACACCAGCACUGACACUGGCCGUGCUCAGAACUGCCUCAGCCCUGAAGACACAACUGACAAAUAGAAGGGGGCCACGCCCUGUUACAGCAGGUGCUCUCACUUAGUGGGUCCUUAUGUAACUGUGCGGUGUUAAUCAGGAUCGCCCGUUCUACAUUACAUGACUCUGCUGCGGUGUCUCCUAGUUACUUGUUUCUGUAUGUACUCGUGUAUUUUC